CGAACGCUGGCGGCCGGCCUAACACAUGCACGUCGAACGACCUCUUCGGAGUUAGUGGCGGCCGGGUGAGUAACACGUGGGAACGUGCCUUUAGGUUCGGAAUAACUCAGGGAAACUUGUGCUAAUACCGAAUGUGCCCUUCGGGGGAAAGAUUUAUCGCCUUUAGAGCGGCCCGCGUCUGAUUAGCUAGUUGGUGAGGUAAAGGCUCACCAAGGCGACGAUCAGUAGCUGGUCUGAGAGGAUGAUCAGCCACAUUGGGACUGAGACACGGCCCAAACUCCUACGGGAGGCAGCAGUGGGGAAUCUUGCGCAAUGGGCGAAAGCCUGACGCAGCCAUGCCGCGUGAAUGAUGAAGGUCUUAGGAUUGUAAAAUUCUUUCACCGGGGACGAUAAUGACGGUACCCGGAGAAGAAGCCCCGGCUAACUUCGUG
rnacentral:rRNA from 1 species